GAUGAAGAACGUAGCGAAAUGCGAUACUUGGUGUGAAUUGCAGAAUCCCGUGAACCAUCGAGUCUUUGAACGCAAGUUGCGCCCGAAGCCAUUAGGCCGAGGGCACGCCUGCCUGGGCGUCACACGUCGUUGCCCCCCCAUCUACUCCUUCCGGAUUACGGGGGGCGGAUGAUGGCCUCCCGUGCGCCUCGUCGCGCGGUUGGCAUAAAUGCCAAGUCCUCGGCGACGCACGCCACGACAAUCGGUGGUUGCGAAACCUCGGUUGCCCGUCGUGUGCGGUCGUCGCGCAUCGAGGGCUCGAAAAAAUUGCCGGGCUCCGGCUCGGCUUUCAACGCGACCCCAGGUCAGGCGGGGUUACCCGCUGAAUUUAAGCAUAUCAAUAAGCGGAGGA
rnacentral:misc_RNA from 1 species